GACAGAGGGUGCAAACGUUGUUCGGAAUUACUGGGCGUAAAGCGCGUGUAGGCGGCUCUGCAAGUCGGGUGUGAAAUCCCAUGGCUCAACUAUGGAAGUGCACUCGAAACUGCAGGGCUAGAGUCCUGGAGAGGAAGGUGGAAUGCUUGGUGUAGAGGUGAAAUUCGUAGAUAUCAAGCGGAACACCGGUGGCGAAGGCGGCCUUCUGGACAGUGACUGACGCUGAGACGGGAAAGCGUGGGGAGCAAACAGGG
rnacentral:rRNA from 1 species